CGCCGCCCGCGGGCCAGCAGGGUGCGUUGCGCCGCGCGGUGUCUGAGGCGGCGGCUCCGCUCCGCGCCCGCCGCGCCCGCUCCCGCCGCUAACGGAGAUUUGUCCUUUCCCCUGCAGCCCUGUGUGCCAGAGGAGUGGGGACACCUGCCCAGGUAGGAGCCAGCAGCCUCCACAGACACAGAUAAUUCCAUUAUUUCUCCUGGAAUUCACUGAUCCUUCCAUCCCACACCCCUCUGUGACACCACAGCAUCACCACUCUUCAGGAGGAAUCCAGAGGAAUCCAGGAAUCCACUGGGCUCGGGGAGGAGGCAGAGACUGCUCUGCACAGGGAGG